rnacentral:lncRNA from 1 species
UUUUUUUUUUGUUUUUUUUAAGGGCUGCACAUGGAGGUGAGGUCCGAAAACAACAAAAGACAAAAAAAUUUAAAAAAAUAAAACUAAGGAGUGAGGGUUUAGCAAGCUUAGGUAACAACUGAACAAGCUACAGGUUUUUAAAGAUCAAAAAUUCCAUCCAGGAGUUCCCACUAUGGCUCAGGGAUUAAGGAACCCAACCAGUAUCCACGAGGACGUGGGUUUCAUCCCUGGCCUCGCUCAGUGGGUUAAGGACCCGGCGUUGCUGCGAGCUGUGGUGUAGGCUGGCGGCUACAGCUACGACUUGACCCCUAACCUAGGAACCUCCAUGUGCCACGGCUGCAGCCCUGACCAGACCAGACCAGACCAGACCAAACCAAACCAAGUUCCGCGCAAAGAUCUACACGCUGAAAACUACGAAACCCUGGUCGAAACAUCAACAAAACCCAAACACGGAGCAACAUGUAAGCUGUGGUGGGUGAGAACCCAGACCGCUGAUGACGCCAGGCUCUGCAGGACAGGAGGCCAAACCGGAGACCACGGGGUGCUAACACAACACGCGCCCACACGCUUUGCCGUGAAAUGAAAACAGACCGGGUGCGCCUCCCGCGGCCGCGCUGGUCCGCGACGCAGCUGCGCGGAGAGACGACCUGCUUCCGGGUUCGGAGUCGGCGUGGCUGACCGUCCCUCCCCGGCACGAUGGUCCGGACAGCCCGGACCCGCGACGCGGCCGAGGGCCUCCCUCCACGCGGCGGGACUGUCACGGAGCGCAUCCCUGCGGCUGAACCAGAUCCCUUCAGCACCUGGGCGGGGCCUGGCUGUCCACACCCGCGCAGUCCAAGGGGUGGCCCUUGGCCUGCUUCUGGAAGGUCACCUCAGAACCCCUUCUGUCCUGCAUGACGGGGGUCUUGCUCACCUGGGCACGUGGCCCAGGGUGAUUUGCGGCUGGGGUCAGGGGUCAACCUGACCUCCAGAGGGCCGGAAACUGACCAAGCCCAGCCACCCAGAUGGUCGGCCACGACCAUGUGACCAGCCUGGGACACACACCCUGGACACCAAGGCGCGCUGCGUGUGGUCACGUGUCCGAGACCCCAGGGGAGGCCCGUCAGACACCCUGACGCAGACCUCCGGGCUGCUCUGGUCCACACCCGUCUGCCGGCCUGAGCUCAACCCGGAGCACAGCUGCUGUGCCAAGCACACAACUCCUGCCUCCUGCCCCUGCGUCGCCCGAGGACGGGCACCCUGAGCCCCGCGGGUGACUGCGGUGCAGAAGCUUGGGGGCAAGGCCCUCGCGGCAGCUACACGGCUCUGGAGCACCGAGGCCCAGGGGCUGGGCUGGGACCGCGGCUGAGCUCGGCAAGCACGCCCGCGGCCACCUGGGGGGACAGAGCACCCCCCCUCCCCUUCCUCAUUUCCACCUUUUUUUUCUUUUCUGGCUGUGCCCACGGCAUGUGGAAGUUCCCGGGCCAAGGACUGAACCCGCACCCCAGCAGUGACCCGAGCCACAGCAGAGCCAGCAUCAGGCCCUUAACCCUCCGAGCCAUAGCAGACUCGUUUCUGCUUUUGACAGUGAGCAAACCGUAUAAAGUGGUGUUUCCAUCACCAAAGUAACUGCACUCAGUGUAAGUUUUGCAUUAAGUGCUAUUGCACGUACUUUUCAGAUGAAUUCAUAAAGGACUGUUACCAAGUAUGCAGCAAAAACUAAUUUCCAAAGGCAUUCAGUGUUUGAUAAUGCGGCUGAGAAUGGUUCUUCUCAUACUGAAAAAUUCCAAUUUCCACCCUGGGUUUAAGAAACUGCAGUCAAAUUUAACCACAGCUACGUCCUCAAACGGCUGCACGGUAGGCAGGGCAGGCAUCCAGCUUCUGGUUCUGAUAAAACCACAGAACUGAUGGCCGCCACGUCGGCGAGGUCAGGGGACGCGCGCUGCUGACACCACAGGCUGGGUACAGCAGGAGGUUCGAACCUCUGCCUGAAGCACCUGCUGACAUGCAGCAGGACCGACGCCAGGCCCCGGGCACUCAGGUCCAACGAGCUCUGUCAAGGUGUCGGGCCAGGCCCUCUCCUGCUCCACACGCCUUAGCAGGGUCAUCUGCAACCGGCCAGGGUUCUCCAGGGAACCAGAACCGACAGGAGACAGACGCACGCGUGAAUCUGACACACACGUGUGUGCACACGUGCGGGUUUACCCUGUGGAUCAGCUCACACAGGAACGGAGGCUGAGGUCCCAAGACCUGCUGUCCGCAGGCUGGUGCUGAGAUUCCCUCUGCGUCUGAAGGUCUGAGAACUGGGGGACUGGUGCCAGUCCAGAAGCUCAAGAACCAGCGCUCCGACCCAGGGCUGCCCCCGAAUGCCCGGGCAGACACACCCAGGCCCUGCAGCUCACCCGCUCCGCGGGCCACCCUGACCGGCUUCAUCUUGCACCAAGCUGGCGUCUUCCCCACUUGUUUGAAAACCUCGGUCCCGCCUGGCCCACACAGAGUCCUCAGAGGCCCGGACCCCAGGACCCGCCCAUCCCGCAGGGAGUGCAGGCCCCGGGCCAGAACCCGAAUUCUCGGUCCCAGGAGCUGCCCGCCCCAAGGCCGUCUGCACGCCCGGGCCGCGCGGCGACACAGGGCCUCCAUCCCGACCCGUUUACCUCCACGAGGCUACGCGGCUGUGAUGACUGACAAGCCCACCUAACAGCUUCCGGCUUUUCCGACCUUUACCUUCUCGCGGUGGGAACGCUGCAGUGUCACCACGUGAGCCACGUUGGCCAGUGACAAUCGCCAUGCACGCCCCUAAAGCCACAAGGCCCUGGGCCCAGGCUCUCACGCGGAACUCUGGGCAAUGGGCACUGCGGCUCCCAGGAACAGGGACCACAGGUGAGCCCACAGGUAAGCAGGUGAACAGGUGGGCCCACUACAGCCUGAGGGCACUGAGCCCCAGAGCAGCCCGGGACUCGUGCAAACCCUGGAGCACGGCCGCUGCCAACACAACUUUAUUUAUGGGCUGGGAUUUGAAUUUCAUGGAUUUUUCAUGUGUCCUCUUUUGAUUUUUUUUUUUUCUCAACCAUUUAAAAACGUAAGAGCCAUUCUUAGCUCGUGAGUCAUACAGAAACAGGCAGCGGGCCACAGCCGAGGACGCGGCACAGGUGAAGAUGCCAGUUGUCCCCAAACUGGUCUAAACCACGGGCUCAACCUACCCCGGAUCUAAACGCCACUCUUCUUUUCUGUAGAAACCAGGGAGCCAACCCCCGACUUUAUGCAGGAAACGCCAGGCCAGGGUUGGCUGAGCAACACGGAACAAAGGACAGAGUCGGAGAUGCCCGUUCCCGGACCAAGGUCCCUGCGAAGUCCCGGCCAUCCGGGCAGCGCGCAUGCCGGAUGGAAGGGGGCCGAGGAGCCCAGGGGAUGACGGACACGCGGGAAAUGGGUGCGAGAGAAGUGCCGCUCGUUUGGCACGGAGGUCAAGAGGUCACGAAAUGGGAGGCCUAAUGGGACACUCGCACACCGAGCCAGACACCAGAGACCUCGGCCACAAGAUGGGCCACAACCCUCCAUGUCAAACCCAAAACCAUAAACAUCGGACAAGAAAACAGGAAAAAAUCUCUGUGACCUCAGAGCAGGCAGAGUCCAUACACAAAAUGUGCAAAAAAAUAGAGAAAAGUUUGCAAAAUACCUGUUUGGUAAAAGGCUGACAUCCAGAACAUACCACUCACACACCUCAACCAAAAGCUUCUUUCUAAUGUGAACAACCAGCCACAGAUCUGUGUAAACACCGGACCGAAGGCACAGGGAGGCGAGCAAACCCACGGCACGCCUCCGGGAAUCGGGGACCCUCAGGCAAGCGCGUACUGACACUGCGGGAGCGCGCGCUGUGGCUCGGCAGGUCAAGAACCUGACUCGAGUGUGUGAGGGUGCGGUCGGUCCCUGGCCUCGCUCAGCGGGUUCAGGAUCUGGAGGAGCCGCGGCUGCACCUCCACCCCCAGCCUGAGAACGUUCAGAUGCCGUGGGUGCGGCCCUAAAAGGAAAGAAAAGAGAAGAAACUGUGGUGAGGUGCCGGGCACACCUGUCCGAAAGCCUUGCGGAACCACCUGCCCAGAUCGAGUGCUGUGAGGAGGCCCUGGCACAGGUCCAGGCCAGCCCGCUGCCGGGCCCCUUCUCCCCCGGCGAGGACACGUGUUCCCAGGGAAAGCUGGGCAGGGGUGUGCACAGCGGCCUCCCGCGGCCGCCGCGGAAGCCGGAAAUACCCCCCGUACAACGUGGACACUCAUGUCUUUCAAAAAUUCAUGCCGAAGCCUGACCCCCGGCACGACGGCACUGGCGGGCGCUGUGGGAGGUGCUCGGGGUGCACCCCCAAGUGGGAUCCGAGUUCUUUCUUCUAAAAGCCCCCAGAGCUCCCUGCCCAGGAAGUGGGCUCCCGUCAGACACGGAGUCUGUCGGAGCCUCGAUGAGGGACAGCAGCCUCCGGAACCGUGAGCAAUGACCGCCUGCUGCUAACAAGCCGCCGCCUCGAGGACCACGCCAGGGCAGCCUGCAGUGCCAAGUUCAAGCGUCACCGGUCCGUCGACUGAACAAACCCUGGUGCAUGCACGCACCAGGCCCCACGCAGCAGGCAGGCAGCUCGCCGAACGCGCUGACAGCCCCGGAGGCCUCACGCUCCGGCAAAGAAGCCGGCACACUGCGUGGUUCCUCGAGUGACAUUCGGCAAAAGGGAAACCUGGAGUGACAGGGACAGAUCAGAGGUGGCUGGAGCUGGGGGAGGGGCAAACAACAAAAGGCAAAAGGGAGACCUGCAGGUCCACCAACGUUCCCAAGAUGUGCAGCUGACACAAGUGGGUGCAUUUGCCAAAAUCAAAGAGCCAGAUACACAAAAGGGUAUGUUGAAAGGGAGCUUCAACAGACCUGACUUUAAUUUUUAAACGCACGCACACACACAGGCCGCCCCACUAGUCACAGUAAUUGCGUUCCCUGAAGUCAGCACCAACACCGAACUAGCGAGAACGGAGCCACUGCCCCGGGGGAGCCGGGGGCAGGGUCCCCCCAGGCUCCGGCCACGUUGCCACCAGCCGACCGACACACAGCCUUGCUCUCUGUGCAACUCGGUUUAAAGACGCUGGGUUUGGAACAUGCGGUACCACGGGUUCCUGAGCACCCGACUCACGCCGGCUGCCCUGUGACACACGGGUUUGCUCCUGGGGCCGCACGGAGCCUCGCUGCGCUUAGGGACGCGGGACACCCUUCAGGGCUAGGCUGGGGCCACUUGAUUUACUUUUUUUUUUUUUUGCUAUUUAGGGCCACCCCCGCAGCAUACGGAGGAUCCCAGGCUAGGGAUCAAAUUGGAGCUG